CUUCAUGGCGGGCCGUGUGAGGAGGCCUUCUGGCCUGCCCGGUCCUUGGUUGACGGGUUCCUACCCUUGCACGGCCCUGCCACCCAA
rnacentral:antisense_RNA from 1 species